AUUGAACGCUGGCGGCAGGCCUAACACAUGCAAGUCGAGCGGAGCGGCGGACGGGUGAGUAAUGCCUAGGAAUCUGCCUGGUAGUGGGGGAUAACGUCCGGAAACGGGCGCUAAUACCGCAUACUAUCAGAUGAGCCUAGGUCGGAUUAGCUAGUUGGUGGGGUAAAGGCCUACCAAGGCGACGAUCCGUAACUGGUCUGAGAGGAUGAUCAGUCAAACGGGAACAGAGAUACGGUCCAGACUCCUCGGGGAGGCAGGAGUGGGGAAUAUUGGACAAUGGGCGAAAUCCUGAUCCAGCCAUGCCGGGUGUGGAAAGAAGGUCUGCGGAUUGUAAAGCACUUUAAGUUGGGAGGCGUGACCAACAGAAUAAGCACCGUCUAACUUCGUGCCAGCAGCCGCGGUAAUU
rnacentral:rRNA from 1 species